rnacentral:tRNA from 2 species
GGAGAGUUGUCCGAGCUGGCCGAAGGAGCACGAUUGGAAAUCGUGUAGGCAGUAAUCCUGUCUCAAGGGUUCGAAUCCCUUACUCUCCA